rnacentral:rRNA from 1 species
GAAGGACGUGACAAGCUGCGAUAAGCCGCGGGGAGGAGCAAAUAUCCCCCGAUCCGCGGAUUUCCGAAUGGGGCAACCCGGCACGGGCGACCGUGCCGCCUGCGCUCUGGCGCAGGUGCCAACCCGGGGAACUGAAACAUCUCAUUACCCGGAGGAAAAGAAAACAAAAGUGAUUCCGCAAGUAGUGGCGAGCGAACGCGGAGGAGCCCAAACCGCGACGGUAUCAUGCCGCCGCGGGGUUGUAGGGACGGCCGCCGAAGCGGCCCGGAGGCAUAGCGGAAGCGCCUGGAAAGGCGCGCCGGAGAGGGUGACAGCCCCGUAUGCGAAAUGUCUGCCGGGCGGCGAGGCCGUUACCUGAGUAAGGCGGGACACGAGAAAUCCUGCCCGAAUCCGCGGGGACCAUCCCGCAAGGCUAAAUACUACCGGCAGACCGACAGCGAACCAGUACCGUGAGGGAAAGGUGAAAAGAACCCCGAACAGGGGAGUGAAAAAGACCCUGAAAUCAUGUGCCUACAAGCGGUCCGAGCCACUUUGUGUGGUGAGGGCGUGCCUUUUGCAUAAUGAACCUACGAGUCACCGUCGUCGGCGAGGCUAAGGGCUGAU